rnacentral:tRNA from 1 species
GGGUGGUUAGCUCAGCUGGCAGAGCAACUGGUUUACACCCAGUAGGUCGGCGGUUCGAUCCCGUCACCACCCACCA